rnacentral:rRNA from 1 species
CCUACGGGAGGCAGCAGUAGGGCAUAUUGCUCAAUGGGGGAAACCCUGAAGCAGCAACGCCGCGUGGAGGCUGAAGGUUUUCGGAUUGUAAACUCCUUUUGUUAGAGAAGAUAAUGACGGUAUCUAACGAAUAAGCACCGGCUAACUCCGUGCCAGCAGCCGCGGUAAUACGGAGGGUGCAAGCGUUAACCGGAAUCACUUGGCGUAAAGGGCGCGUAUGCGGGAUAGCAAGUGAGAUGUGAAAUCCUAUGGCUUAACCCUAGAACUGCAUUUGAAACUGUUAUUCUAGAGUAUGGGAGAGGUAAGUGGAAUUCUUGGUGGAGGGGUAAAAUCCGUAGAGAUUAAGAGGAAUACUCAUUGCGAAGGCGACCUGCUAGAACAUAACUGACGCUGAUGCGCGAAAGCGUGGGGAGCAAACAGGAUUGGAUACCCUUGUAGUC